GUCAAAAAUGACUAAGGAUCGAGUGGUUGCUGAAUGCAAGGCUAUAGUGGUCAGUUAGAGGUGUCAGAUGAGUCUGUGGCUCUGACAUCCAAUGUCAAGGUGAGUAGCAGGUUUUGGUGCUGGUGCCAGAAACUGGAUCAGACCAGCACUAAGCAGAGUUAGGGUGCAUAAGGAGGAUAACUGACACCAUCUUAAAAUGCUUAUAGAGAUCAGCAUGUAUUGAUUCUCAGUUCUGCUUCGCCAUCGGAAUGUACCGUAUGCAAUGACGUGGAGACAAUACAGGUUGGGAACAGGAACAGGAGAGAGGUGAAAACCUUUUCCAAUUGCAUCCAGGGGUGUCAUGCACUCCAAAAAUCUGAGGCAGCACAAAGUACGUGAGGAUGGCUGAGGGGUCGUCUGGAGGGGAGGUGAUCGUGGACUUCUCCAAACUAAAUGCAUCUGCUUAAAUCUGGGUAAAAGAUUAAGAGGAAUUCAAGAAGAUGUGAUGAGCAGAGCAACCAAUCAGCGUCACUGCAGCUGUUCAACCCUCCACCCCCACCACUCUCCCUCCACAAGCAACCACAUCCUCUUCUCCUGUUCAACUAAUUUGCCGCUGCACAGAAAAGGACUGUACAUACCCCUGUGCCCAUCAGUGCAAAAUGAUCCAGCCAAAGCCUCAGCUGGACGCCGAAAAUGUGAAAAAUGUCAGUGUGUGUGUGUGUGUGUCUGUGUGUGUGUGUGUGUGUGUGUGUGUGUGUGUGUGUGUGUGUGUGUGUGUGUGUGUGUGUGUGUGUGUGUGUGUGUGUUCCAAGAAAAGACAUGAGUGUGAUGUGCCCCUCUGUGUCAAUGUUGAAAUGCGAUAAAUGAAGGAUGGCAAAGGAGAUAGUGAUGUGAUAGUGUGUUUGUAUGACUCCUUGGGAUCUAAAAUGAGUGUGGGGUGCCCUCUUGUGUCUCCUUUUUGUUCCUUUGAAGGCAUUACACUCAUCCCUGGUGGAGGUUCUUGGAACACUGUUAUUUAAGUCUGAGCAGAGGUUGAUGAAAACCUUCAAAGUUGGUGGUGCUAUAUUGCGUGUUAUCUUGAACACCAGGCAGAUGUUUGAGUACAGAAUGAAAAUGGUGUAAACUGAACAGGUUGAACUUGUUGAGUACACUCUUAGAAAAAGGGGUUCCAACUGGCUGUCACCAAAGGAGAACCCUUUUUGGUUAUUAGGUAUAACUCUUUUUAGUUACAGUAAGAACUCUUUGGGGUUCCAUGUAGAACCCUCUGUGGAAUGGAACCCAAAAUGAUUCUACCUAGGCACCGAAUGGGUUCUACCUGGAUCCAAAAAGAGUUCUUCAAAGGGUUCUAUAGGGACAGCGGAAGAAACCUUUUAGGUUCUAGAUAGGUCUAUAUUGCAGUGGUGGUUCCGUUGUUUUCUUAAAGAAUAUAUAUAUAUUAAUUGGUGGUGGUGAGUUAAGAUAAUCAGAAAUACUGUGAAACAUCCCCACUUUUAGCACACAUUUGCAAGCAGGCAAAGUCGCCUACUUCUAUGCGUGCUGAGGUAUGUGUGAUCACUCAACAUUGACAGGACUGACAAAAAUGCUCACAUGCAAACAAAAGACAAAGAAAUGACCAAACAAUGAAGUAAUUGGCAAAAGAAAUGUAAAUGUUAUGAAAUAAAGCAAAACCUGUGG
ensembl:lncRNA